CCCUAAAUCCAGGGAAAUAUUUGCGUACGUGAAUUCGACAGAAAACUGGCGGCUAGAUGAACUGCAGAAUGCUUAGGAACGAGCAUGCUUACCUCCACCCCACUGCUUCCACUCCGUCAUCUUCGCCUGAUUCUAUUUCCUCGUUUGCUUUCUAGCUCUCGCGAGAGCACACCUUUCGAAAACCCUAAUAUCCUUUCUCCCCCACCUCUUAUUGUAUUCCUCUACUUGCCUGCUGGAGCUUGCCGGAGGCAACGAAGCUGUCGCCGGACCUUUUCUUGUUACUCUCUCAUGCCGGUAUAAUCCCCCGAAGAGCGCAUUCUCUCGCAGGAGAAUUUUGCAGGCCUGCUUAUCGUAUGAGAGGGCAUUGCGGGUGCUGAGGUCUCUCAUUUCCUGGAACACUAGCAACGAUGUUGCGUCGCUUUGGCUUUACGCUUGUAGGAAUGCUAUAUUGUAGCUGACAGAUUGCAGUCUCGAAGGUCGCAGACACUGCGGAACCGAAUGCUGUCAACGGGAAUUGAAAGGAAAACCCGCGCUCUGCUCUCGAAGACAUAGUCAUCUUUGCCGAACCUCGUUAAAUCUGUGUUUCUUUAUGAAUUUGAAUCAAUUCUUGCUUUUUCUUUGCCUUAACAUUCUUAACAAGUGGUAUCAGAGCGAUAUUUUAGGACAUAAGAGUUUGGCACACGAAGGACGAAGAAGACACGACGAGGGUGUGGCGCGGGUUCGCGGCAUUCUAUGUGGGCUUCUUCCGCAAUAGAUUGAAGAUCGCAUGACGGUUAUGCAAGAGGAUCAGUUCGGGAAGGAGCUUUUCGGUGAAGGAUUUUGUACGAAGGAAUUUGGUGACUCUCCUUAACCACCGUACCAUGCUGUUUCGUUGUCCGCUUCACUAUUUACAGCAGGGACUGCCGCCGGACAGCUCAAAUAUGUUGUCCGAUAGUUGAUUUCAUCAGUUAUCCACCUCCAAAUGUUGCCAACCUCACAUACUAAAUUUCAACAUAUCUUCGACCCAGAACAAUAUUUUCAUCUCUUUCGAAGUUAUAAUAUGCCACACAAUCUGAACAAAUGCACCUUUGUGGUCAUAUCAUACAACAUUUUCAAGUUCAUGGCUACCCAUUAUAUGGUCAAAGCUAAUCCUAAGAACAUCAAGGUGUUCAGAAUAACCACCAUCAUCCAAUAGUUACUGUUACCACCCACAUGCUGUCAAACCACCAUCAUUUAACCACAACCAUCUUAUCUCCUCUCAUUGUUGACCACUUCACCAAUAUUUUUCACCACUCUCAUAGGAAGUUCAACCAACAAUCUAAGAUCAUCCUUCUAUUAUGUAGAAGGCAUGUAAUAUUUUUAUAGUUUAUGCUUAUAUAGUGGAAUAAUUUCAACCCUGCUGAGCCCUAUGAUUUUUCUCUUUUUGGGUAUUUCAUGUAAAAAAACAUUGGUCUCUUGCAAUCGCUAUUUAUUUAUUUGUGUAAGAUCUUUGUGUAUAGCUAGUAACA